GGAAUAUUGGGCAAUGGAGGAAACUCUGACCCAGCGACGCCGCGUGCGGGAUGAAGGCCUUCGGGUUGUAAACCGCUUUCAGCAGGGAAGAAGCGAAAGUGACGGUACUUGCAGAAGAAGCACCGGCUAACUAUGUGCCAGCAGCCGCGGUAAUACAUAGGGUGCAAGCGUUGUCCGGAAUUAUUGGGCGUAAAGAGCUCGUAGGUGGUUCGUCACGUCGGAUGUGAAACUCUGGGGCUUAACCCCAGACCCGCAUUCGAUACGGGCGAGCUUGAGUAUGGUAGGGGAGUCUGGAAUUCCUGGUGUAGCGGUGGAAUGCGCAGAUAUCAGGAGGAACACCAAUGGCGAAGGCAGGACUCUGGGCCAUUACUGACACUGAGGAGCGAAAGCGUGGGGAGCGAACAGGAUUAGAUACCCUGGUAGUCCACGCCGUAAACGGUGGGCACUAGUUGUGGGGACCUUCCACGGUCUCUGCGACGCAGCUAACGCAUUAAGUGCCCCGCCUGGGGAGUACGAUCGCAAGAUUAAAACUCAAAUGAAUUGACGG
rnacentral:rRNA from 1 species